UACGUAGGGUGCGAGCGUUAAUCGGAAUUACUGGGCGUAAAGCGUGCGCAGGCGGUUCGUCGUGUCCGAUGUGAAAGCCCCGGGCUCAACCUGGGAACCGCGCUUGAGACUGGCACGCUCGAGUUCGGGAGAGGAUGGUGGAAUUCCCAGUGUAGAGGUGAAAUUCGUAGAUAUUGGGAAGAACACCGAUGGCGAAGGCAGCCAUCUGGACCGACACUGACGCUGAGGCGCGAAAGCGUGGGGAGCAAACAGG
rnacentral:rRNA from 1 species